rnacentral:rRNA from 1 species
CGGGGAUUGUACACACCGCCCGUCAAGUCACGAAAGCUGGCAACACCCGAAGUCAGUGGCCCAACCAUUCGGAGGGAGCUGCCGAAGGUGGGGUUGGUAAUUGGGACU